CGGGUGAGUAAUACAUAGGAAUCUGCCCAGUAGCGGGGGACAACCUGGGGAAACUCAAGCUAAUACCGCAUACGCCCUACGGGGGAAAGCAGGGGAUCUUCGGACCUUGCACUAUUGGAUGAGCCUAUGUCAGAUUAGCUUGUUGGUGGGGUAACGGCCUACCAAGGCGACGAUCUGUAGCUGGUCUGAGAGGACGAUCAGCCACACUGGGACUGAGACACGGCCCAG
rnacentral:rRNA from 1 species